UACGUAGGGGGCAAGCGUUGUCCGGAUUCAUUGGGCGUAAAGAGCUCGUAGGCGGUUCAGUAAGUCAGGUGUGAAAUCUCCGCGCUCAACGCGGAGCGGCCACCUGAUACUGCUGUGACUCGAGUCCGGUAGGGGAGUGUGGAAUUCCCGGUGUAGCGGUGAAAUGCGCAGAUAUCGGGAAGAACACCCGUGGCGAAAGCGGCUCUCUGGAACGGUACUGACGCUGAGACGCGAAAGCGUGGGGAGCGAACAGG
rnacentral:rRNA from 1 species